UGCGGGGUAGAGCAGUCUGGUAGCUCGUCGGGCUCAUAACCCGGAGGUCGCAGGUUCGAAUCCUGCCCCCGCUA
rnacentral:tRNA from 3 species